UACAGAGGUCCCGAGCGUUGUUCGGAUUCACUGGGCGUAAAGGGCGCGUAGGCGGCCAGCACAAGUCAGUUGUGAAAUCUCCGGGCUUAACUCGGAAAGGUCAACUGAUACUGUGCGGCUAGAGUGCAGAAGGGGCAACUGGAAUUCUCGGUGUAGCGGUGAAAUGCGUAGAUAUCGAGAGGAACACCUGCGGCGAAGGCGGGUUGCUGGGCCGACACUGACGCUGAUGCGCGAAAGCCAGGGGAGCGAACGGG
rnacentral:rRNA from 1 species